CCUACGGGAGGCAGCAGUGGGGAAUAUUGGACAAUGGGCGCGAGCCUGAACCAGCCAAGCCGCGUGAAGGAUGACUGCCCUACGGUUUGUAAACUUCUUUUAUAAAGGAAUAAAGUGAGGCACGUGUGCCUUUUUGUAUGUACUUUAUGAAUAAGGAUCGGCUAACUCCGUGCCAGCAGCCGCGGUAAUACGGAGGAUCCGAGCGUUGUACGGAUUUGUUGGGUUUAAAGGGAACGUAGAUGGGGUGUUAAGUCAGUUGUGAAAGCUUGCGGCUCAACCGUAAAAUUGCAAUUGAUACUGGCAGUCUUGAGUACAGUGGAGGUAGGCGGAAUUCGUGGUGUAGCGGUGAAAUGCUUAGAUAUCACGAAGAACUCCGAUUGCGAAGGCAGCUUACUAAACUGCCACUGACACUGAUGUUCGAAAGUGUGGGUAUCAAACAGGAUUAGAUACCCUUGUAGUC
rnacentral:rRNA from 1 species